rnacentral:rRNA from 1 species
UACGAAGGGGGCGAGCGUUGUUCGGAUUUACUGGGCGUAAAGGGCGCGCAGGCGGUCUUGAAAGUCAGGCGUGAAAGCCCCGGGCUUAACCUGGGAAUUGCGCUUGAUACUCUGAGACUGGAGUACGGGAGAGGAGAGUGGAAUUCCCAGUGUAGAGGUGAAAUUCGUAGAUAGUUGGGAAGAACACCAGUGGCGAAGGCGGCUCUCUGGACCGUAACUGACGCUGAGGCGCGAAAGCGUGGGGAGCAAACAGG